CCAUCACAUCAUCAACCAUAGUUUGCAUGUCACCACUAGUGACCCCUGCGUUUUCCAACCCAUUUUCUACCAUGUCAGGUUCUUUAUGCAAAGUAAUUGGAUUUUCCUGAUACAAUGCAAGAUCACCAUUCUCAUUAGCAUCAUGCAUCCUAUCAGGGUCUCCAGUACCUUUAAUGUCAGAGGUAUCCAGCAUCUCACUAGAGCUUGCAGCGAGUCUAUCUGUCAAACUCUCUACGUUUUCCAUUGAUUG
rnacentral:misc_RNA from 1 species